UUCGUCAGAAAACGCCUAAAAUUGUCUCUCCGUUGUCUCCAACCACAAAGUUUUCUUCACUGCUUUCAACUUCUGACUUUGCAAGAAGUAAUAAAGAAAGGGACAAAAUAAGAUUGGGCUGCCUAGAUUAACAUUGAUGGUUCCUUCCAGGUAAUUUAAUACAUAAUUUAACAUGCAUGAACACAGAAUCUGUCACAGUGACAGUUUCAGUACAUAUUCUUAUAAAAUCAUCAACAAAUAGCAAUAGGCCUUAAUUUAAUUUGGGUAUUUUUAUACAUAUAGUAUACAUAUUAAAAUACCCUAAUAAGCAUUCAAUUGAUCAAAAUAUCAUCAAACCUUCAAUCACUAAAACAGAAUCUUAAUUCAGCCUAUAAAAUCAGGAUAGAAGAUAAAGAAAUAGAAAUAAACAAAUGAAGGUUUGAUUACUUACCCACAAACUUGGAAGCUGAAAUUUUAUUGUUAACCCUUUAAUUUCUUCUUUAGAGAGGAAUAUAUUGUGUUGGUGAGAAAGGGAGGGCUGCCGUGUAGAAGCAACAGAAGAAGAGAGAAAGAAGAACAAAGAAAGAGGAAAAGGAGUAGAGAGAGAGGGGCUGGACUUCUGAUCUGAU